GACAUAGGUGGCGAGCGUUAUUCGGAAUUACUAGGCGUAAAGCGAGUGUAGGCGGACGCUUAAGUCCGACGUUAAAUCUCCAGGCUUAACUUGGAGCUGUCGUCGGAUACUGAGCGCCUCGAAUGGAGUAGGGGGCAGGGGAAUUCCCGGUGUAGCGGUGAAAUGCUUAGAUAUGACAUAGAACACCAAUUGCGAAGGCAGCUGGCUACACAAAUAUUGACACUGAGGCACGAAAGCGUGGGGAUCAAACAGG
rnacentral:rRNA from 1 species